GUGGUCCUACGGGAGGCAGCAGUGGGGAAUAUUGCACAAUGGGGGGAACCCUGAUGCAGCGACGCCGCGUGAGUGAAGAAGUAUCUCGGUACGUAAAGCUCUAUCAGCAGGGAAGAAAAUGACGGUACCUGACUAAGAAGCCCCGGCUAACUACGUGCCAGCAGCCGCGGUAAUACGUAGGGGGCAAGCGUUAUCCGGAUUUACUGGGUGUAAAGGGAGCGUAGACGGCGAUGCAAGCCAGAUGUGAAAGCCCGGGGCUCAACCCCGGGACUGCAUUUGGAACUGUGUGGCUGGAGUGUCGGAGG
rnacentral:rRNA from 1 species